rnacentral:rRNA from 1 species
UACGUAGGGUGCGAGCGUUUAAUCGGAAUUACUGGGCGUAAAGCGUGCGCAGGCGGUUUGUUAAGACAGAUGUGAAAUCCCCGGGCUUAACCUGGGAACUGCAUUUGUGACUGGCAAGCUAGAGUAUGGCAGAGGGGGGUAGAAUUCCACGUGUAGCAGUGAAAUGCGUAGAGAUGUGGAGGAAUACCGAUGGCGAAGGCAGCCCCCUAGGCCAAUACUGACGCUCAUGCACGAAAGCGUGGGGAGCAAACAGG